AACGUCGAAACAUGUUAGGGCGCUAUAGUGGGUCGCUAUGUGCGAAUAAAAUACACGUGUCGCUAAUCCCGCUAAACUAUAACGGUUUGCUUUAACAUUUUAGCCAACUCCCCCCUUAAUCCCGCUUAAUUCUCCCAUACCUGCUCCCAAAAGACUUUUAGAAAUAUUUUCAACGCCGAAAUAUUUUCUCACCCAUGAAACCCACUCAUCUCUCUCAUCUCAACUGAUUCACUCUGAGUCUUCACCACUUUCAACAAAAUCCCAGAUUGUUCUCAACAAAUCGUUCUGCUCCACCCAUAUUUCUAAGGUUUGCUUGGUUGAGCUCGAAAGUUCAACUUCAAUGGGCGGAGGAAAGAGGCGAACACAUGAUGUUGGAACUCUGCACUCUAUUGGCAGAUUCAAGAAGCCACAAACAAGGUUAUUAAGAAGGAUUCGAGCUCAAUUCAGACUGUAAAUGGUACUGAGUCUCUACUGUAACAAAUUGAAUCUAAAAAUGAGGUAAUUGCUCUUUAUUCCAUGGAAGCUGAGUUCGCAAGGCCUUUGUGAGUUUUUGGCAUGAGCUCUUGAAGUCAUAAACAAUCUUGAUCAAACAAACUUAAUUGCUUGUAGCUAUAGGUUGAAAGGAAGAUCAUAUGUUGGAGUCCUUGAUGAUGCCCAGAGCUCUUUAUCUCUUCUUGACAUUCCUUUCACAGAUAUAAGCAAUAUUGUAUUAUCUCAUUCCCCGACUUACUCUUCAUUGAUGAUUGAGAAGUUCCACCUUGAACGGUUGUAAGAUAGUUAUAACUGAAGGAAAUAAUGCCCUUG